rnacentral:rRNA from 1 species
CCAAUAGCGUAUAUUAAAGUUGUUGCAGUUAAAAAGCUCGUAGUUGAAUUUCGGGAUCAAUUUGUCGGUCGUGCCUCGGUACGUACUGGUAUUAUUGGUUUCUACCUUCUGAAGAACCUUGAUGUCAUUAAUUUGGUGUCUUGGGGAAUCAGGACUGUUACUUUGAAAAAAUUAGAGUGUUUAAAGCAAGCAUACGCUUGAAUACAUUAGCAUGGAAUAA